ACCGGAGAUUGUAGAAGUUCCUGUUAAAUUAUGACUUCAUGUACAGCAAAUAAUAUCGGACACAGGAUUUAGACAUUUAGAAAGAAACCGACCCAAUACAGCUGACAAAACGCAGCUCAGCCUGAUGGUCUCGCGAUACUACCGUAACUUCGCGUUUGUAGCGUUCAACUAGCAGAGAUCGUCUAUUGUUAAGACCUUUUAUUUGGAUGACGAAAAAACGGAGCACCAAGUGCCGAUUUGUGAGAGCUAAAAGAAGCGUUCAGGAAGACACAACAUAUAAUACUUUAAAGAAACCGACCUUCUGCAAGUUCAGCGUGGAAUUUAACCAAAAACGGCAAAGCAAACGUCUAAAAGCGUGGAAGAAAUUGCAGGAGCCAUUUCUAAAUUCACAGAACCUGGAGCCACUGUCACUGACUUCAGUAUUGGCACUGAAGCUGGGGCUCUGGGACAAUGUUUGCAAGGAGUUGCAAGUGCCCAACACCUAUAGGAACAGGAAGAAAAUGGCUAUAAUUGCUACCAAUUAUGCCAAGGUAAUUGUAGAACAUCAAAAUGUCUGAUAUUCAUACUAGUUGGACAUUAACCUGUAUUCAGCAUCAAUAUGUUUCAACUUGUUUACAGGAACCUUCAAUGGUCACAAAAGACUUGGAGGGGAGCAAGAAUGAAACGGAGAAGAGGCCCUCAGGGGAUGGCAGGUGCCUCCGUGGACUGUAGUGGACCAAUGUUUUAGCCAAAGCUCUCAGAUCGGUAAAUCCUUACUGCACUUUUGUACUACCACUAUGUUAAAACCCUACUUUCAAAGACAAAGGCACCUCCUUUUCCCUGGUUUUCAUUUGUUGUUUUGAGGCUUGUCCUGUUAAGGCUGCUGUGACAGUCACUGAGAGCAGCUUGAAAGCAGUUGUGGUGUUCACAGGGGUAAUGUGUGCCACAACACCCUGGAGACAAAAAGCAGGCCAGUCUAUACUUAUUCACGAAAGACGACUGCAAACAAAGCACCCCCGGAGCGUGGACUUGGAAUCUAUGCUCAUUUUGCCACCAUCUGUUGUACAAUCGGGGUGCAGGGAUGAUGCAGUGAGCCUAAGUGUGUUGAAAAAAUACAGCAUGGACUCAAAGGCAGAAGGAAAGACCAUAUUCUGAUGAGGUCACAACAGUCUCCAAACAAUUAUUGACAACCAGCAAGGCACUGAUGCUGAGGUCCUGCAGAAAGUGAUGCUGCACCCCAAAGGAAUAUUGUUGUGGUCCAAGAAAAGGCUCUGUGUUUUACAGAAGAUGCAAAGAGGACAUUGUUUACUUGGAUGCAACAGGCGGCAUCAUUUAAAAAGAAAAAAAAGAAUGCAAAGUCCACCAUACCAUGUGUACGAGCUGGUGGUGAGAAACCCAUCCAAGGGUUCAUCCCCACUGCCAGUAGCCACAUGCAUUACAUGUGACCACACAACCACAUCGGUCAUAUAUUUCUACUGGUAGGUUUGUAUCUUGUUGAUAUUUAUAAUUUUUAUAUAUAAUAUAAUUUGUCCCCUGUCGUAUCCUAUGUCAUGCAUUUACUAUCUUUAGGAGAUUUAGGGCGCCAUGGUACCGGACCAGCAUACACACCUCAGUAAGCGUUAUAAAGAGGUCAGCCGUUCCUGGAAACAGGUAAUAUAUCUUAAUCAAAUUGGAAGCAUUUCUAUGAAUCAACAUGGAAUGCUUUGACUGGCUGCAUAGAAAAUGUGUAAUUCCAACAAGAGCCAUAUUUUGUAGAACUUCACAGUAGCAAACCAGAACCCAAGGAAUCAUGGAGAAAAGCCAGUGGGACGUGAAGCAAAUUAGAUUCCAACGGAACACUGUGACCCGACUUGAUGACUUUAACAGUUUCCAAAAGAUGCAUGAUACCCUGCUCCUGGAAUAUGCAGACACAGAACUAUCCAGAAAAAGUAAGAUUUGACUCAGAAUUAGCACAUUACAUGGCUGUCCAAAAACCCAAUAUUAACUCAUUGCAACUUAAGUCCCAUAGAGUGGAGGUUGAAGAGUAGUAGAAAGGCAGAGAGGGGCGCAAAGGUGUCUACAUCUCACAAUUACCAACAACUUUGCCAUUCAAGAAGCCAGAACCUGAGGUGCUGUGUAACUGUCUUGGGACUGGAACUGCCAAAAUACAUAUUGUAGUUAUUUUGUCAAUGUUCUUCCGUCAAACAAUGGCAUUUGUGUUUGACCCCUUGAGAUCCGUACAUCGAGACAGAAGAAAGCACAGGUUUGUACCAGUCUUUCACCACACAUUAUAGCCUGGCUGUCAAUUUUUUUUUAAUACUUGCAACACAAAGAUUGUUAACUUUACAUCUUUAUAGAAGAGUCUUUAUUGUGGCAUACUUGUAACGAUGUUCAGUCGUUGCAAUUAAAGACCUGUUUCAAUAUUGUAAUAAAUUAUAUUGACAAAUGAUAAAAGCCAAUGUGUCAUGCAAGUGGCUUCACUGUUGAAGUAGAGAUGUUCUUUGAGGUUCACACCUCUGAAAGUGAGACCAGUUCCAUUGAGGCAAAUAACGAUGGUUAUGGUGGCUGCUAAAAGCAAUACUGCUCUACUUAUGCACUCCCCAACAGGAACAGCCAACAGCUGCACCCACAUCUGAAGAGACGCACAGGAGAGAACAGCAGAGUCCGAGGUGAGAUUAUGCACAGUAAAUCCCAUCCCCAUGCAUGCCUUACAUUGAUACUGAAAGUGAUGGCAAAAUAUACUUAAUGUAAGAUCAUCUACAUGUUUACCAAAAUCUUUCUUUUAGCUUACUACAUUGUGGAGGAGACAAAAGACAGAACUGGUUGUCGCUGUCAUUCUCUCCAAGAUUAGAGGGAACCACUUCAUUAUCCACCACAGUGAACUUUGUUCCCUUGUACUUCACCAGUGGCUCACAGGAGAAGUUUGUAGCAAUAACCAAUCAAAUCAUGAAGUGACAUUGGAUACUAGCCACAUGAUGAUUACAAUAUUGAUCUUAUGAGCCUUAGAAAACCGGUGGUUCCAGUGUAGAUCGUUGGAUAGCCAUACAGGAUAAAGAAUGGUUGGGAGGGUAUAUAACUGAGCUGAGAGAAUCAACUUGCUAUAAUCCAAUGCUGAAUGGCAUGUUUUCUCUAUUCAUGUUUAGAUCCAGUGCCUCUUCCAUCUUACUGCCAGUCAACUUGAUGUAUCAGACACAAUCUACCUCAUGAACCACUGGAGUGGCUGGAGUGAUUGUGCAUGACAAGAGAAUUGUUCUGGAGGCAGAGCUUGUCAAAAGUAAAUUGCAUUUCAAUUUUAUGGGAUGUUGUGAAUGAAAGAAGCUGCUGCAUGUAUGUUCAGACUUUUUGGCCAAAGUAAUAUGCAUGUAGCAGUAUUGUGGUGUAAAAUAAAUGCUUAUUUCCACUUUUUUUUCAAUCUGAAACAGAUACAUUUUGAGAAUUACAAAGCCAUUGUAUCCUGUGCCAACUAUGACAUUACACACUGGAAGUUUCUGGUGAGUGAAUUUAUAUUGGCACAAAUAUGAAAUAUUAUACAAAGCUUUUUUUUUUCACGACAUUAUUUCAGUUGUAGUGCAUUAAUGCAGCAGAAGGUAGUCUACUUGCCUGAUCCUGUGCAAUCUACGACAGAGCUGGCGGAGUCUGAUCAUGCUGCGAAGAAAUUCCGGUAAUCCUGCAUCAACAUCACUAAUCUUUUCACAUAGAUUUUGAUGAGUGUACUUUCUCCAAUUGUCGGACUAGUAUGCCUGUAAACUCAUGGAAUUCUUUUGUAAAUUUUUUGACAAUAUAUUCUUGUGAAAGAUUGUCGUCUACUUUUUUUUUUUUAUGUAUUACAGGGAGUAUCUUAACAUGAGGAGGACCUGCCAGAACAGAUUGAGUGGACAUAAAAUUUAAGGGCAGCACCAUGACACACCCAUUUCAGCAGGAUGGAAGCAGUUGUGGUGUAAUUACCAUCAUGGUAGAGCAAGACUAAUGUGUUGUGGACAAGUACCUCACCUGUAUUAUUCCACAGUGACACUUGGGUCCUUAUGCUGCUAUUAUAUACUGUUUUGUUCAGAUGGCACUGUCGAUAAUGGAAACAUUCCCAGAUCCACCUAAUAUUGUUCCAAACAGCAGGGAUGGAGACGGCACAGGAAGGACAAAAACUGGCUCUUGCAAUACUUCAGGCUUUAGGUGCAUGCAUAACCUCUCUAUCUUGGCCCACUGUACUCCCACGGAUGAUUGACGUCCCUUUUGCCUUUCAGUUUUCGACAAGGCUAACGACUGUGCUAUGUGCGGCACAACUUUAAGUACUGGACCUUCUCACACUGACUGGGUAAGCUUUCAAUAUUGAUGGUAGUUCGGAAGGAUGGUGUGAAAUAUUAAAAGGUCACAUAAGUCUGAACACCUAAUGGCCUUCAGGAGAUGUCUGAUAGUUUUCCUCCAUUUUAUCAAAUCAUGUCAUCAGUGUAUCGACGCCAUUGAACAAAUAUUUAUGAAACCUGGUGGUGAGUGACACUGUGCUGUAAACCUUCAGUAAAAUCAUUACACAGCACCAUGUCUUCAGAAAUAACUUCUGAUGUCACAACAGUGCAGUGCUGUCUGAACAAUAUUUAUUCCCCAAGUUAGGCAUUUGUGUUUCUGACUUGCAGAUGCAAUGUGAUGAAUGCAGCAGGUGGUUCCAUGUCCAGUGCUUGCCUAUGGAUACAGCAGAGUACAAAGACCAAGGCUUGGAAAUGCUGUUUGUGCGACCAGGACAUGGAAACGUCCUCCCUUUAACCCGUCAGUGUAGUCACAUCUACAAGAUAAUAACUGUUAUUUUGAUCUUUGAAAGUAAAAGCAUGUCUGGUUUUUAAAUGCCUUCUAUCCUCUUCAUAUGUAUUUAUGCACGGAACGGGUGUGUGCACACACACACACACACACACUGAAAAGACCUCACAUAGGACUCACGCAACGUGCAGCUCACAGCCAGGAAACGAUCACACAUACAAUGCACAGUAACUAAAGGGUUGAAUUUUGUUCUCUGCAGAUCACCAUUACACUCUUGUUUAGACUAUUAGUCAGUAAAUCUCUUUUAAAAAAAUAUUAAAAGUUCCAGCAUUCAUCCAAUUAUUAUCAGUGAUCACGCACUAGUUUGUUAAUAUUCCUUGGGAAAUAUCCACACCCUCAGGUACAUCCUGGAGGGUUUACUACAUCUCUGUUAAAACGCCAAGCAUUUAUUGAAUUCUUUGAAAAAAGAGUGGGCAACCUUCUUGGAAUUCAAUACUCCUAAUAUCUCACCAUGUCUUCUUUCUGAAACAGCAAAAGCAGUGAUGAGAGGGACAAUCAU
rnacentral:lncRNA from 1 species